rnacentral:snoRNA from 1 species
UGGCUCCUGGUGCUUAUCACAGACUGUGUUCUUAUACUGACUGUAUAGAAAGAGGAGGGAAAGUAAACCCGCCCCAUAAACACCUUACCAAGGCCUUGUGCAUGGUCUGUGUUCUGAACGGGCAGACAUGG